UACAGGUAUCCAAGAGAAAGAAGGAGAAGUUCCUGAAUAUGUAGUUAGAGAGUUCCUCCUUACAACUCUUCAGAUUCCACGCGAAGCUAUCAACAAAAUCCAACUGGAACGUGUACACUGCUUCGGACAGACGGCAAAGGGCAUAUGUGGAUGCAGCGAAACCCCAGUGUUGCUUGGUAACCUGAUGCCACUAACAGAGUACACUGUGACCAUCUUGGCUUUGUAUGACGGGGGUUGUCAAGCCAAGCCCCUGACUGGCAGAUUUACCACCAAUGCAGGUGAAUGGUAACAUGAACACCUACCUUCUAACUGGACUGAUUCCCAACACUGAAUACAAGGUGGCCGUGUCCUCCAUCUUCAGAGACAAGUUCGAAAGUGACGCCAUGACCAUCAAAGUCAACAGGGAAGACCAGAGACAACCCCUCUCCUCUUGACUCAGGUCAGGGUUCUAGUGAAAUUUCUAGUGAAGGUUCUAGUCAGGAAGGAUCUCCAACUGGCAGCCAUGAAGAUAUUGAUGAGAACCAACAACUGUUACCUGGUGACGGUCUGUAUAUAUCAACCUCCCUCUCUGCAUCAAUUGCACCCUUUCGGGUUUGGGUCAU